GCGGAUGUGGCGGAAUUGGCAGACGCACCAGACUUAGGAUCUGGCGGUUAACAGCCGUGGGGGUUCGAGUCCCUUCAUCCGCACCA
rnacentral:tRNA from 1 species